UCUUUUUCCACCGGAGCUUGCUCCACCGGGAAAAGAGGAGUGGCGGACGGGUGAGUAACACGUGGGUAACCUGCCCAUCAGAAGGGGAUAACACUUGGAAACAGGUGCUAAUACCGUAUAACAAUCNAAACCGCAUGGUUUUGAUUUGAAAGGCGCUUUCGGGUGUCGCUGAUGGAUGGACCCGCGGUGCAUUAGCUAGUUGGUGAGGUAACGGCUCACCAAGGCCACGAUGCAUAGCCGACCUGAGAGGGUGAUCGGCCACAUUGGGACUGAGACACGGCCCAAACUCCUACGGGAGGCAGCAGUAGGGAAUCUUCGGCAAUGGACGAAAGUCUGACCGAGCAACGCCGCGUGAGUGAAGAAGGUUUUCGGAUCGUAAAACUCUGUUGUUAGAGAAGAACAAGGAUGAGAGUAACUGUUCGUCCCUUGACGGUAUCUAACCAGAAAGCCACGGCUAACUACGUGCCAGCAGCCGCGGUAAUACGUAGGUGGCAAGCGUUGUCCGGAUUUAUUGGGCGUAAAGCGAGCGCAGGCGGUUUCUUAAGUCUGAUGUGAAAGCCCCCGGCUCAACCGGGGAGGGUCAUUGGAAACUGGGAGACUUGAGUGCAGAAGAGGAGAGUGGAAUUCCAUGUGUAGCGGUGAAAUGCGUAGAUAUAUGGAGGAACACCAGUGGCGAAGGCGGCUCUCUGGUCUGUAACUGACGCUGAGGCUCGAAAGCGUGGGGAGCAAACAGGAUUAGAUACCCUGGUAGUCCACGCCUAAACGAUGAGUGCUAAGUGUUGGAGGGUUUCCGCCCUUCAGUGCUGCAGCUAACGCAUUAAGCACUCCGCCUGGGG
rnacentral:rRNA from 1 species